rnacentral:rRNA from 1 species
UGGGGAAUAUUGCACAAUGGGCGCAAGCCUGAUGCAGCAACGCCGCGUGAGGGACGACGGCCUUCGGGUUGUAAACCUCUUUUAGUAGGGAAGAAGCGAAAGUGACGGUACCUGCAGAAAAAGCACCGGCUAACUACGUGCCAGCAGCCGCGGUAAUACGUAGGGUGCGAGCGUUGUCCGGAAUUAUUGGGCGUAAAGAGCUCGUAGGCGGUCUGUCGCGUCUGCUGUGAAAACCCGAGGCUCAACCUCGGGCCUGCAGUGGGUACGGGCAGACUAGAGUGCGGUAGGGGAGAAUGGAAUUCCUGGUGUAGCGGUGGAAUGUGCAGAUAUCAGGAGGAACACCGAUGGCGAAGGCAGUUCUCUGGGCCGUAACUGACGCUGAGGAGCGAAAGCGUGGGGAGCGAACAGGAUUAGAUACCCUGGUAGUCCACGCCGUAAACGUUGGGCGCUAGAUGUGGGGACCAUUCCACGGUUUCCGUGUCGCAGCUAACGCAUUAAGCGCCCCGCCUGGGGAGUACGGCCGCAAGGCUAAAACUCAAAUGAAUU